rnacentral:tRNA from 1 species
GGGUAUAGCUCAGUGGUAGAGUGUGUGCUUAGCAUGCACAAGGUCCUAGGUUCAAUCCCCAGUAUCUCCA